CUCCCAACCGGUCCAUGGAACCCGAAAAGAAUGGAGUAUAUAUAAGGGCUGUGCAGGUGCUAUGUCUGACAGCUUUCUCGUUCGGGAUUCAGCCAAAAGCAGACAUGAAACUUCUGUGCUUCGUUACCCUAUUGGCACUCAUCGCCUCCACCCUAGCUGGAUACGGCCACGGAGGCUACGGCGGAGGCUUCGGAGGAGGCUUCGGAGGAGGCUAUGGAGGAGGGCACGGCGAUUACCAUCAUCCCGUUGGCCGCAAAUGGGCCUAUGGAUCUAAGGUUAAACAUCCACACGGCCACGGACAUGGAGGCUACGGAUACCACGGCUAGGGUAGCGCCUUGAUAGAUGGCUGCUGUUCAACCUCUGCGCUCGAGAAGCUCCAAGUGGAACUCAAAAAAGCCGUGGCAGACGUCGAAU